rnacentral:rRNA from 1 species
UACGUAGGGCGCAAGCGUUGUCCGGAAUUACUGGGCGUAAAGAGCUCGUAGGUGGUUUGUCGCGUUGUUCGUGAAAACUCACAACUCAAUUGUGGGCGUGCGGGCGAUACGGGCAGACUGGAGUACUGCAGGGGAGACUGGAAUUCCUGGUGUAGCGGUGGAAUGCGCAGAUAUCAGGAGGAACACCGGUGGCGAAGGCGGGUCUCUGGGCAGUAACUGACGCUGAGGAGCGAAAGCGUGGGGAGCGAACAGGA